rnacentral:rRNA from 1 species
AUUGUACAUGCCCUUAACCUCCCAACCACGGCACCUCCGUUAUCCCAUCCGCUCUCUCGCGGUCUGUGCUCCACUCCACUCCGCCCCCCAUCCCACCCCCGCCCACGCCGCCGCCAUGGUCGCGCUCGCCUCCCUCUCUUCUCUGUGCCUCUGCGGCUCCGCUCGCCGCCGUUCUGCCUCCGCACCCACCUCCAUAUCAUGCUGUGUGCUCGCAACUCCCUCCGGCAGAGGGUCUCAUGAAUCUAGAAUACCCCGUAGAAGGUUCCGGAGAACCGAGGGUGCUACUAAGAGCAUGGAAGAUUCAGUCAAGCGAAAGAUGGAGCAGUUCUACGAAGGGGUGGAUGGUCCGCCCCUCCGGGUCCUCCCAAUCGGCGGCCUUGGGGAAAUCGCUACGACGAGUUUGGUGUGCAAAAGAUUAUUCCCGACACAACUUUCAUCAAGAAAUGGAGCCACAAAAUUGAAGCAGUUAUUAUUACACAUGGCCAUGAAGAUCACAUCGGUUAUUCCUGCACUGGAUUCGACCACACCUAUUUUUGCGUCAUCUUUUACGAUGGAGCUCAUAAAGAAGCGUUUGAAGGAGUUUGGGAUUUUUCUCUCAUCCAGGCUAAAGAGUUUUAGAGUUAGAAAUAGGUUUCAGGCUGGUCCAUUUGAAGUGGAACCUAUCCGUGUAACUCAUUCAAUUCCUGACUGCUGUGGAUUAGUGCUUCGUUGUGGUGAUGGCACAAUUUUCCAUACUGGUGACUGGAAAAUUGAUGAAUCACCAGUGGAUGGGAGAAUAUUCGACCGAGAAGCAUUGGAGGAGCUCUCGAAAGAAGGUGUUACUCUGAUGAUGAGCGACUCAACAAAUAUUCUGUCCCCUGGAAGAUCCACCAGUGAAUCUGUUGUCGCUAGUUCAUUGUUGCGUCAUGUUUCAGAAGCAAAAGGGAGAAGAGUAAUUACAACACAAUUUGCUUCAAAUAUACAUCGCAUUGGGAGCAUCAAAGCUGCUGCAGACUUAACUGGUCGAAGGCUGGUCUUUGUUGGAAUGUCACUGCGGACGUACCUUGAGGCUGCUUUUAGGGAUGGAAAGGCACCACUGGAUCCAUCAACCUUGGUUAAGGCAGAGGACAUGGAUGCAUAUGACCCUAAAAAUCUUUUAGUCGUUACUACAGGUUCACAGGCAGAGCCACGUGCGGCUCUGAAUCUCGCAUCUUAUGGUGGGAGCCAUGCUCUUAAACUAUCCAAAGAGGACGUCCUUCUUUAUUCAGCUAAGGUUAUCCCUGGAAACGAGUCCCGGGUAAUGAAGAUGUUAAAUCGCCUCACCGACCUUGGCCCCAAAAUUGUUAUGGGUAAAGAUGCUGGCCUCCAUACAUCUGGGCAUGCUUAUCACGAUGAACUGGAGGAAGUUCUACAGAUUGUUAAACCGCAGCAUUUCUUGCCUGUUCAUGGGGAACUCUUGUUUCUCAAAGAACAUGAAUUGCUAGGAAGGUCAACUGGCAUAAAGCACACUACUGUAAUUAAAAAUGGGGAGAUGCUUGGUGUAUCUCAUCUAAGAAACAGAAAGGUUUUGUCAAAUGGGUUUGUUUCUUUAGGGAAGCAGGACUUUAAGUUAAUGUAUACUGACGGAGACAAAGCUUUUGGAACGUCCACUGAUCUCUGCAUCGAUGAGAGAUUCAGGAUCGCAUCUGAUGGCAUUAUCUUUGUCAGCAUGGAGAUCUUCCGACCUAAACCUGCUUCACCACAGUCUGGCUUGAAAGGGAAAUUUAAAAUAACAACACGGUGUCUAUGGCUUGAUAAUGGGAGACUACUUGAUGCACUUUACAAGGCUGCGCAUGCAGCAUUGUCAAGCUGUCCUUUGAAUUGCCCACUUAGUCACAUGGAGCGAAUGGUAUCUGAAAUCUUGAGGAAAAUGGUCAGAAAGUACAGUGGAAAGAGACCUGACGUCAUUGUAGUUGCUUCAGAGAACACUACAGUAGGUUUCUCAGAAGAGGUAAUAAAUAGGCAUAUGAGUCUUGUAGACUAUGAGAAAACACGGCCAGAGAACCCAGAGCGUGAGGCUGAAGAGAGCAUCCCUGAGGUCAUGAGAACAACACCUGACGAUGCAACGACUAGCUCCAAUGGUGAAUCAUUCUUCUCUCCUGAUUUACAUCAGCCUAAAACAUUGGAUCAUUUUUGGGAGUCGUUCAAGUCCCCUACAGCAGUAAAAAUUGCAAGAAUUGUCAAUGCUUCAGCUCAAGGGAACAAACCAAAGCUCGGCAAGAUCAGCAUAAUUGAUAAGGAUUCCAGCACGUCAGCUCCUGCUCCAGCCAAAUCUUCAAGAAAGAACAAGUGGAAGCCCGAGGAAAUUAAGAGCUUAAUACAGCUGCGUGGAGAAAUGAAUGAGAAAUUCCAAACCGUCAAAGGAAGAAUGGUUAUGUGGGAAGAGAUAUCUGGUAGCCUGUUGAAGCAGGGGAUAACUCGUACACCAGCACAGUGCAAAUCUGUGUGGACAUCAUUGCUUCAGAAAUACGAGGAGAGCAAGAAGGAUGAAGAAAACAUGCGGACAUGGCAAUAUUUUUCGGCCAUGGAUAGUUUUUUAUCAUGCGAAGGGGAAAUGGCAACCAAAUGAAACAGAUCCGUAAUAAAUUGCUUAGUGAUAGUUAUUUGGAGAUCAGUGUAUUGUAAGGUAGUCCGCGAAUCAACAAGAAGAUUGUUAGAAGGGAGAGAGGGAUUGGUGGAAUAGUCCGUUGUUGUAUUGCUUGAGCCUCGUGGGCAUAUAUAUAUAGGAGUACAAUCAUCUAUUUGGAGUAUAAGACAAGCCAGAACAAAUCCUAGUCUAUCUCGUCUUUUUUAAUAAACAUUAUACUCAACA